rnacentral:rRNA from 1 species
UGCAUGAAGUCGGAAUCGCUAGUAAUCGCAGGUCAGCAUACUGCGGUGAAUACGUUCCCGGGCCUUGUACACACCGCCCGUCACACCACGGGAGUCGGAAAUGCCCGAAGCCGGUGACCCAACCAAAAGGAGGGAGCCGUCGAAGGCAGGUCUGAUAACUGGGGUGAAGUCGUAACAAGGUAAC